AUUGAACGCUGGCGGCAGGCUUAACACAUGCAAGUCGAACGAGUGGCGGACGGGCGAGUAAUGCUUGGGAAUCUAGCUUAUGGAGGGGGAUAACUACGGUAAACUGUAGCUAAUACCGCUUAACAUAGGAUGAGCCCAAGUGGGAUUAGGUAGUUGGUGGGGUAAAGGCGCACCAAGCCGACGCUCUCUAGCUGGUCUGAGAGGAUGACCGGCCACACUGGGACUGAGACACGGCCCAGACUCCUACGGGAGGCAGCAGUGGGGAAUAUUGCGCAAUGGGGGCAACCUGACGCAGCCAUGCCGCGUGAAUGAAGAAGGCCUUCGGGUUGUAAAGUUCUUUCGGUAGCGAGGCGUUAACUACAGAAGAAGCACCGGCUAACUCCGUGCCAGCCGCCGCGGUAAUAC
rnacentral:rRNA from 1 species